UUUCUCCGCCGGCGACCGGCGCACGGGUGAGUAACACGUAUGCAACCUGCCCCUGUCAGGGGGACAACCCGCCGAAAGGCGGGCUAAACCCGCGUACAUGCCACCGGGGCAUCCCGGAGGCAGGAAAAGGCUUCGGCCGGACAGGGAUGGGCAUGCGGCGCAUUAGGCAGUAGGCGGGGUAACGGCCCACCUAACCGACGAUGCGUAGGGGUUCUGAGAGGAAGGUCCCCCACACUGGUACUGAGAUACGGACCAGACUCCUACGGAAGGCAGCAG
rnacentral:rRNA from 1 species